rnacentral:rRNA from 1 species
AACGAACGCUGGCGGCAUGCCUAACACAUGCAAGUCGAACGAGAUCUUCGGGUCUAGUGGCGCACGGGUGCGUAACGCGUGGGAAUCUGCCCUUUGGUUCGGAAUAACAGUUGGAAACGACUGCUAAUACCGGAUGAUGACGAAAGUCCAAAGAUUUUUCGCCAGAGGAUGAGCCCGCGUAGGAUUAGCUAGUUGGUGUGGUAAAGGCGCACCAAGGCGACGAUCCUUAGCUGGUCUGAGAGGAUGAUCAGCCACACUGGGACUGAGACACGGCCCAGACUCCUACGGGAGGCAGCAGUGGGGAAUAUUGGACAAUGGGCGAAAGCCUGAUCCAGCAAUGCCGCGUGAGUGAUGAAGGCCUUAGGGUUGUAAAGCUCUUUUACCCGGGAUGAUAUGACAGUACCGGGAGAAUAAGCUCCGGCUAACUCCGUGCCAGCAGCCGCCGCAG